rnacentral:lncRNA from 1 species
CACAAGACAGCUUAUCGAGACCUUUAAAGUUGUGUGCUGGUGCCAGAUCCUUAAUUGGUCCCUUGAGCUAGAUCCUAUAAAAACACCAAAGACAAAAAGGUUCUCACACUAGGGGAUUCCCUAAUGGUGGACCCUUUGAUGUCCAAAUCAUUCUUUCAUGGCCAGCAGAAGAGGUUUGGGCUCGUGAAGGAGAUGAGAGGUGGUGUCGAAAAUGAAGUGUGAAAAGUUGGUGUCAA